rnacentral:rRNA from 1 species
AAUAGAUACCCGGGUAGUCCUAGCUGUAAACGAUGAGCACUGGGUUGAGGGGGACUUCCACAUCCUCUCGGCCGUAGCGAAAGCGUUAAGUGCUCCGCCUGGGGAGUAUGGCCGCAAGGCUGAAACUCAAAGGAAUUGACGGGGGGCUCACACAAGCGGUGGAGGAUGUGGCUUAAUUCGAGGCUACGCGAAGAACCUUAUCCUAGAUUUGACAUGGUUGAGAAUCUCCUUGAAAGAGGAGAGUGCCCUUCGGGGAGCUCUUUCACAGGUGCUGCAUGGCUGUCGUCAGCUCGUGUCGUGAGAUGUUGGGUUAAGUCCCUUAACGAGCGAAACCCUUAUCUUUAGUUGCCAGCGGGUCAAGCCGGGGACUCUAAAGAGACUGCCGGUGUCAAACCGGAGGAAGGUGGGGAUGACGUCAAGUCCUCAUGGCCUUUAUGUCUAGGGCUGCACACGUCCUACAAUGGCACGUACAAAGGGAAGCCAAGCCGCGAGGCCGCGCUAAUCCCAAAAAGCGUGCCCCAGUUCGGAUUGCAGG